rnacentral:rRNA from 1 species
AAUAUUGCUCAAUGGAGUCAACUCUGAACCAGCCAAGUCGCGUGAAGGAUGACUGCCCUACGGGUUGUAAACUUCUUUUCUAAGGGAAUAAAGUGAGCCACGUGUGGCUUUUUGCAUGUACCUUACGUAUAAGGAUCGGCUAACUCCGUGCUAGCAGCCGCGGUAAUACGGAGGACCCGAGCGAUAUCCGGAUUUAUUGGGUUUAAAGGGUGCGCAGGAGGAAUAUUAAGUCGGCGGUGAAAGUUUGCAGCUUAACUGUAAAAUUGCCGUUGAAACUGGUUUUCUUGAGUGUAUAUGAAGUAGGCGGAAUUUGUAGUGUAGCGGUGAAAUGCAUAGAUAUUACAAGGAACUCCGAUUGCGAAGGCAGCUUACUAAAAUACAACUGACGCUCAGGCACGAAGGCGUGGGUAUCAAACA